CUUCUGCCUGCCAUGUGCUUGCUGUUUGGGAACAGACUGUGGGUCUGGAGUAAAAGGGAAUGUGGAUCACAACACUUGUGUAAACAGGUAUGUUUACCUUUGUUUCUGGUAGUUCAAAUGCUCAAGUUCUCUAAAUUGUCAGAGCUCCCUCAUAUGUUCAUACUUUACCUGUCCCUUUGUGAAGGGUGUUUGAUUUACUGUAAUCUGCCUGUUACCAUAGGUGCCUAAAGAAUGCGAGUGCAGUUUACCUCAUCGUCCCAUUGCCUGUCACUAACCUGUCCCAGGGACGCUAAAGUUUCUCCUUGGCCUUAUUCAGAAACAUUAAAUCAACUUGACUCAUUUUGCCUGUUCUACAAUGUUGGUCUGGCCAGACACAUGGAUGCAAUCGUGUAUAUGCGUUCAUCGCUUUCAGCUGUAAAAAAUAUGUCAACUCUCAAUGUGGUCUUCUGCACAAUCCAUUUCUACCUGACCACAAUGAGGUUGCACUUGCAGAACCCCCUGGCAGAAACUUUAGAUUUUAAAAGGUGCACUUAAGCUCUCACUUUGUACGAAAUUAUCUAGAGAUGUAAAUAUGAAUUGUUUCUUAAGCCUGGCUGGUGACUAACUACUUUUAGCUUUUUUGUUAUCAAGGCUUCAAACAACUUCAAAAAACACUUAGCGUUCUUAUAUUUUAGGAUUUUCAAGCAACUAUACUGGGG
rnacentral:lncRNA from 1 species